rnacentral:lncRNA from 10 species
AACCUCUGGUCAACUGGCCAAUACAUAACCUUGUUUUAUGUGUAUUUCUGUUGAAAAACACCUUAUGUAACAUAUAUUAUUGAUUCAUUAACAUUGAACUCACAUCCAGCGGCCAUAUAACUCAUGCCUGAAUGAAGCUUAUCUAACGCAUGUAUUUUCUCUGUAAGGCACAUCACAGCCUUCUGGCAUUUAGGGACACCAGGCAGCGCUGUGCUCAGGGGCCAUUUUGAACAGUGAAACCACCAACAAAAAGCAUAAAAAUGUGAAGAACGUGGUACAAAAUUGAUGGCAAAAAGGACACCUGUUUACAGGAUAAGGGCUGAAACGAGAAGGCCUAGUGUCACCUUGUUUGACCUCAGGAUGUCAGAUUAAAAACAAGAAACAGCUUCCUGAAACACUAAAACUCCCUCCACUUGUAAGACAACAAAACUGGCUGAAAUCUUUUCGAACCGAUACGGCCAGCUGGAGUUUGCACAGAACAAGCUUGCUGAUGUCACAGCCUGGAUUUCCACUGCACGUUUUAUAUUAACUCCUCCCCAAAUUUGCACAUGGGACCUAUAAGGAAGCACAAAGGGAUGACUGUGCGUGCCUGAGGGUCUUUCAGACCUCUCCUUUCCUCCCACCAAUUACCUGCUAAUCUCAGAAUCCACCCUCUUAAACCUUUUCUAGUAAAAGUAUUGCCUUAAAACCAGCACAGAGAGAUGGAUCUGAGCUUGACUCAUAUCUCCUUGUAAGUCAACUUGCAAUAAAUAGCUUUUCUUUCUCAAAAACUUGGUGUUAUAUUAUUGGAUUCUAGAACAUUGGGCAGCAAGUUCCUUUUGCUUGAUAGCACUUUUGUAUAAAUGUGUAUGUGUAAGGAUGUAAUUAACAGCAUCCUUUUAGGUUUCUGCAUUUAUAUUAGGCCAAAUCGAUAUACCUUUUAGAUAUUGCUGGACUUGGAUUCAAUUUGCUUUGUUCUCCAUUUCAUUUACUAAAAUCUGGGUCUAAUGUAAGAGUUCUUGGUAUAUUACAUAAACAUAAAUCAUUGCUGCUGAAGUUCUAAUAGGACUCUGUUGCUACUUGCAGAAACCAGCUUUGAGGUAGUCAAGGAAAGAGGAUAAAGAAAAGAACAAAACUGAGGUUUUAAUUUCAUACAUGAUUUGUGUCUUUGACAGUGCUUUUGUUUCAUACAAAACACAAACGAAAUAAAAAUUUAGGUUCCAUUUCUGUCCCUUGCCAUGUUAACUGUCCAAUAUAAAAAGAAUUGAGCAUUAUGAAGUAGGGUUCUGCAGCUUGCUAGAUAAUAAAGAUAUUGAAAGAAGGGUUCAAUUUGGGUUGGAUGCCAAUAGUGGUGAAGCAUCCUGCAUGUUCACGUUGGCUCUCCAGAACUUUCAGGACUUGAUAAUUCUGCAGGAACGCAAGGUGGGGGCCUGACUUCUCUUAAGCCACACCAAUGCCAGUUAAAUUUGGGAUUGACAGA